UUUGUUUCUUUGGUGUGAUGGUGUGUUUUUGUCUGUGCUCUUCAUGUGGUAUUGCAUUGUUGGAGUUUGCCUUCAUUUGUGAAGCUUUUCUGUUUUCGAUUUUGAUCGUACUGAUGGGGCUUUUUUUUGUUAAUUGUGUAUAUGAAAAUCCUUGCUGGAGCAUUGUUAGUUGGAAGCUUUUGGCUACCAUUAUAUUUCUAGGGAGCUUUUCUUUGGUUGUCAUUGUUUUGAUUGUGAUAAGAUCAGUAAUCUUCUACCAUUUUGUUUCCUUCUCAUCCUACUCUGAUCAAUAAUCUUACUUCUCUUUCUACUUUUGCUUCUGUUUUUUGUGAAUUGUUCAUUUAGCUAUAUAUAUAUAUACUAUCAUAAUUCUGGUGUGAAUAGUUAAUUUAAGUUGUUUAGCAAAUAUUAUAUGUAAAUCACUUCAAACCAAACAUUCAAAUGGCUAUAUGAAAAUUACUUUACAAAACCAAUUGUAAUUAGAUCUCUUUUUAUAAAAUCACUUGUACUACAAUGAGUCUCAAACAUGCCCUUCAUGAUUAAACCCACUUGAGUUUGAGCAUGCUUGUUCUAUCCCGUUUGGUUUUGUGUUCAACUCGAUUCGGAUUUUACACUUCCUUCAGUUCUCAUUUCUUUCCAUCUUAUUGGUUGUUUUCCGUUUCACAUGUUCUUUUUGCGUGCAAUCCUUUUCUGUUCUUAAUCUCUUCGAUUUGAUUAUUCCUUUUCUUAUCUUUUUGCACUUGUCCCAUUGCCCUGGAUUUCAAUUUCAUUUUCUCUGUUCUCUUCAAUUUCAAUUUUGCAAGUCCAGUCAUCAUCUCCACCAAGUUUUUUCUAAUUCCACCUGUGUUCUUCUAGUCCCUGAACCCAUAUCAAACUUAUCUGGCUAACUUGAUUGGAACAAAGGAUUGAAAUAGAAAUUGUACUGAAAACUUGAUUAAGAAAAGAAAAAAGAAUAAAGGGAAAAUAUUCCAAAGCAACUUAGAGGGACCUCAACCUGAGCAAGUUGAAGCUAAGAGAGAAAAAUACACUUUUGGUAUCUCAGGUUUGAGUUUGGUGCUAAGUUCGGUGCAUUUAGAUACCUGAGUUUUCAAACUCAACAAUUUAGUCCAUGAGUUUUGGAUUUAGUUGCAUUUUAGUUCUUCCGUCCAAAUUUUAAUUUUCUUUUUUCUUCUCUCCCUUCUCUUCUCUUUUCUUUCUCCCUCCUUCUCACAUCAUCCUCCUUCUUCCAUUGCCGAUAGCUUCUGAUUGGUGGUGACAAACAUAGCUUGUCAGUGUCCAUCAGCACAUACAACCCUGUCUAAACCCAACACAAACUGCCGUGCUAUUCUGUAGUCAGUGUCCACCAACUCUGAGGUGAAAUGGUUCAACUUGGAAAACUCUCCGGCGUAUGUGGUAACAAAACGCCCCCUUUGACACAAUUAGGUGAACUCUUGCUGCUUGCGAAGUUGAACGUCCUCUUGGUAGUACUCUUCAUUAAAAGCACCCUUGAAUUUCGCCCACAAGAUUGCACCUCCCUCGGGACUAAUAAUCUCGCGGGUGGAUUGCCACCAUAGUUCUGCAUCAUCUUGCAGCAUUCACUCCACCUUCUAAUCUUCAGGAUAGUUAGUCAACACAAACAUAGUCUCUAUAUAUCUAAGCCACAUUUGUGCCACAGUCGGAUCAUUAGAAGUUCCCUUAAAGGUUCGAGGGUCACCCCUCUUAAAAUCAUGCAAGCUCCUUACUUCCUUGGUCGAUGAUGUGUCAUUUGCUUGUUGAUUAGCAGUCAGGUUUUGUAUAACAGUUUGCAAUACGUCCACCAGAGCAGCUGUACUAUCAUAACACAUUACUAUCAUAAUGCAACGCGUCCACCACAAUUUGCACAAUUCAUUACAUGUCACUGGACGCCACAAAAAAGCAAAGGCCCACAUGAUUUCAUUACAGACAUAAAUAUCAAACGUGCGUCUAUACUAUCAUAAUAUAAAGGGGAAAUAUCUCGAUGCACAUGAUAUACAAACAUGCAUGAGAUCCCAUGAUUUACAUUUCACGACAUAAUACUUAAUACCUUUCAUUAGUCUUAGCAUUUCAUAUUAUAACUCAUUUAUGGAACAUUCAUAUUAAAACUCAUUU